rnacentral:rRNA from 1 species
UAGUAACGGCGAGUGAAGUGGGAAGAGCUCAACUUUGUAAUCUGGCUGCUUCGCAGUCCGAGUUGUAGUCUAAAGAAGCAUGAUCCGCGCCGGACCUUGGGCAUGUCUGUUGGAAAGCAGUGUCAAAGAGGGUGAUAAUCCCGUACAUACCAAGGACGACCGUGUGCAUUGUGGUCUGCUCUCUAAGAGUCGAGUUGUUUGGGAAUGCAGCUCUAAUUGGGUGGUAAAUUCCAUCUAAAGCUAAAUAUCGACGAGAGACCGAUAGCGAACAAGUACAGUAAUGGAAAGAUGAAAAGUAGCCUGCAGAGGCAAUGAAACAAUACGUGAAACCGUUUGUAGGGAAGCGAUGGAACCUUUUCACGCUGCGAGGGUUCAGCCUUUCUUCGGAUUGGUGUAUUCCCUCGUUUUGCGGACCAGCAUCAGUUUGCUUGGCAGUAUAAGGGUGUUUGGAACGUGGCUCCCACGGGAGUGUUAUAGCCUUUCACUGGAUGCUGCCUCGCAGACUGAGGACUGCAGUGCGCCAUUAUGGCAUAGUCUU